UUUUUUUUUUUCUGUUAGAUAUUGGGUAUGAAUUUUUGAAUACUAGAAUAUAUGCCUAAAUCCCGAAACGUGUAUUGACCUGGAAAUGGAGUUGAGACCUGCCUGGACAUCUGUUCACCAAGGUUAGGUGGUCCGAAUACAACGAAUAAUUCUUGAGGUCUAAGUGGCACACUAUGCAGGGAAAGUACACGAGUAUUUUAUAUUAAAUGUAAUCCUGCCAUACUUCUGAUGAUUCCCACCUCCUGGUAUUCAUGCUUUUGUAUAAUCCCUUGAGGAUGGGCAGCCUGUGACUUCCUUCUACCCAACAGAUUAUGACAAAGGUGAUGGGAUGUCACAACUGUGAUUAUGACAUUAUAUAAGAUUCUAUUUUAGCAGACUGCAAUGAGAUUCCUUGUGGGCAUGAAGUAAGCAGCCAUAUUAAAGAACCCCAUGUGGGAAAUAACCUCAGUUAUCCCCCAGGAUCUGGAGACAGCUGCCAGCUGAUAGUAAAUAUCCAGGGCUCUUAAUAGUAUAAUUUCCAGAAAGUGAAUCCUGAAGAUUCCCCAGUCAAGACUCCAGAUAGCUCCAGCAAGCAUUUUGAUUGCAGCUUUGUGAGACUCUGAAAAGGAGGGCCCAACUAACCCAUGCCUGACUCCUGGUCCACAGAAACUGAGAUAAUAAAUGUAUGUUUUACUUGAGACACAAAAUUUGUGAUAAUUUUUUAGGCAGCAAUAGGAAAACGAACAAUGCAAUAUAUGCAUUCCUGGAAAACUUCACAGUUGGUAAAUUAAUGCAUAAAAUAUAAAAGGGUUUGUGGAGGGAAUACGGUUGUGACAGACCACUUAAAAAAUCAUGCAACAGGGAUGCCUGGAUGGCUCAGUAGUUGAGGGUCUACCUUCGGCCCAGGUCAUGAUCCUAGAGUUCUGGGAUCGAGUCCCACAUCAGGCUCUCUGUGAGGAGCCCGCUUCUCCCUCUUCCUAUGUCUCUGCCUCUGUGUGUCUUUCAUGAAUAAAUAAAUAAAAUUUUUAAAAAUCAUGCAAUAGAUAAUGCAGAGUACAAACAAAAACUAACAAAGUCCUGAGAAAUUUUAAAAGAUGGGGUAAAUCACUAACAAAAUUACAUUAGAUAUAUGAUUUCACCAAGAAGGGUUAAAGGUAACUUGAUGGAAGGUAGUAGAAGGGUUAGGACUGCUGAGUUAUGUGGACAAAGGUAAAAUGCACACAGAUCUGUGAGAAUGGACUGAUAAGCACUUCCAAGCAGAGCAGGUUGUCUAAGCUAUGAGGAAGAGCAAGGUAGGGGAUGGACAUCAUGUACAGUGUAUUAGUUUUGUAGGGCUGCCAUAAAAACGUGCCACAAACAGGGAGGCUUAAACAACAAGAUUUUAUUGUCUCUGAGUUCUGAAGGCUAGAAGUCCAAAAUCAAGAUGUGGCCAGGGUUGGUUCUUUCUGAGGACUCUGUGGGAUCUGUUCCAGGCCUCUUCUGGCUGUCUUUUCCCAGUGUCUCUUUAUAUCAUCUUCCCUCUAUGUGUGUCUCUGUGCCCAAAUUUCCCCCUUUCAUAAGGACAUCAGUCAUAUUGGAUCACGGUCCACUCUAAUGACCUUACUUUAUUGCCUCUGUAAGUGCUCUGUCUGCAAAUAAGCUUCACAUCGUAAGCUACCAGGGGUUAAGACUCCCAACAUAUAUUUUGGUGGGGGGGUACAAUUCAACCCAUCAUAUAGAAUAAUGGACCCCUUUGUGGUUUGCUGGAUUCACUGCUGUGCAACCUUUGUGGUUUGCUGGAUUCACUGCUGUGCAUUCAGCUGCUGUUAUAUGGUACAGAAGUUUCAUUGCUGAUGGGGAAAAAAAAGAGCAAAAGCCAAAUCAACUUCCCCAUCAUACCAAUUAUUACUAAUCCCUAAUACAGAAACCUACCCUUUCACAGAACAGUCUAGAAAGCAUCUAACCUCUUCACUCUCACAUUAUAUAUAUGUGUGUGUGUGUGUGUAUGCAUAAAAUGAUGUUGACUGCUCACCACACUUAAUUAAAUAACUUGCCCAAGGUCACGCAGCUAGUAAAAAAAAAAAAAAAAAAA
rnacentral:lncRNA from 1 species